GAGUUUGAUCCUGGCUCAGAUUGAACGCUGGCGGCAUGCCUUACACAUGCAAGUCGAACGGCAGCAUGAUCUAGCUUGCUAGAUUGAUGGCGAGUGGCGAACGGGUGAGUAAUACAUCGGAACGUGCCCUGUAGUGGGGAUAACUAGUCGAAAGAUUAGCUAAUACCGCAUACGACCUGAGGGUGAAAGUGGGGGACCGCAAGGCCUCAUGCUAUAGGAGCGGCCGAUGUCUGAUUAGCUAGUUGGUGGGGUAAAGGCCCACCAAGGCGACGAUCAGUAGCUGGUCUGAGAGGACGAUCAGCCACACUGGGACUGAGACACGGCCCAGACUCCUACGGGAGGCAGCAGUGGGGAAUUUUGGACAAUGGGCGAAAGCCUGGUCCAGCAAUGCCGCGUGUGUGAAGAAGGCCU
rnacentral:rRNA from 1 species